rnacentral:lncRNA from 1 species
CCUAAACAGAAUGGUGAGAGCACACAGUAGAAGGCUGAGAAGAAAUGAUGAGUCCUUGUGCCCCAUGGGAUUUGCCAGGUUCAAAAUUCAACAGAGAACUAAAAUUGCUAUAGCAUUCACUGGGAUCUUUAUGCUUGGAUCACAAGAUGAGGGAUACCGUCAUACACCACUCAGAUGCCCCCUUCAGGACCAAGGUACUCAUUUCC